AUUAUGAGUUAUGUUCAAUGAGGGUGUAAGAAAGAUUGAUUGAGUCUUUCACCGAGACUCUUGGGAAUAAGGCGGUUACAUCGAAAGAUACCAUUAUUUCGUCAACUUCGAUUUCACCUGGAUUAGCAUAUGGUCGCAAAACUGAAAUGUAGAGGUGCUGAUUGUUUAGAGAUGAUACUUUCAGCAAGAGCUGUCAAAUUGUAUUUUCAAUGAUUCGGUGUCCUUUCUCGCUGCUCUUCCGGUAAGAACAGAGAUAACCUGCAUCAAAUACAAGUUAUAAACUAUAAACAUGAACGCGGGACUGUGCUUGAGAUUUUUAAGUAGGAUUUUGAAAUGCGGUAGUUACAGUUCGAUAAAAAAAAAUCAAACUAUGUACAAACACAACUACUCGAAAAUAAAUUGUUAUUGGUUUCGUAUUAGUUAAAUCGUAAAAUUUUGCGAGAAUUUUAGACGUAUUGAACAUCAUCUCUACCGCAGGUUAAUAUAAAUCGAAACGCCAGGACUAAAGCUCAUGCACGAUAUAAGUCUUUACGCAUAGAUGUAGAGUACCACAUCAGCAAUCUUUCACAACUAAUUUCUGCAAUGAAUAUUGAAACGUAAAAACGUUUUACACAAUAAAAAUAUUUGUAUUGAAUACAAUUACAAUUACAAUUGAGAGAGCAUGGAACUGUUUGAAGGUGGACAUAUUAACUUUAGCGA